GUGUAAUGAACUGGAAAAAAAAUUUUUUAAAUAGAAAAAGAAAAAAAAAGAAGAGGAGGAAGAUGACAAGUAAGAGGAAAAAAUAAACAUUUCAAAGUCUUAUUUUGGUGAUGCUCAAAGGCUCUCUCUUGCUCUCAGAAACUUCAGAGCAAGAUAUGGCUCUUUCUUUUUUGUAGCUUGGAGCAACUUUCCUGUCAACUGCCUAUCUAACCUCUGUCACUAGAAAGCUAUGCACUGGCAAACUGGCCUCAGCAGUUCAAGGUUGGAGAACCCCAGCCAACGCCCGAGGGUGGGACAGAACGCAGGCGCCAAGCAGUAUCCUCGGGCUGCUAAUUUGCAGGACACACAGAGCCCUGUUCUGUAACCUCCCCCUAGGCUGUGGCGAUUCCUCUGGAUAGGAAGAGACCUGGCUUGCUCAUCGGCUAGUCCUCUCUUCUAGCUCAGCGGAAUAUGUUGGCUUCUCAUCAAGAUGAUUCAGAAAAUGCUGUUGAACUGUGGUGCACAAACAAGGACAUGGGGUACUGGUGACUCUGACCUUGUCAAAUAAGCUGAGGUUUCUUUGCAGACCCCAGGGAGUGGGUGUCUACUUGAAAAGAUUCCUUCCUAUCAAG
rnacentral:lncRNA from 1 species